GGAUCUGCAGAAACCCUGAAUUUAACUUUAUGUCUUUUUGAAAUUAUUUUAUUCAGAGGAUAUCCCAGUGAGGAAUAUCAGGUGGUGACAGAUGAUGGAUAUUACCUAGGUAUUAAUAGAAUUCCUUAUGGGAAAAUAAGUCAGAAAACCAAGGAACCGAGACCAGCUGUGUUUCUGCAACAUGGCUUACUUGCUGAUGGCAGUACCUGGGUGACCAACCUAGACUACAACAGCCUGGGUUUCGUGCUAGCUGAUGCUGGUUUUGAUGUUUGGUUAGGGAACAGCAGAGGAAACACCUGGUCCCGAAAACACAUCAACUAUACCACAAAGCAAAAAGAAUUCUGGAUGUUCAGUUUUGAUGAAAUGGCUAAGUAUGACCUUCCUGCUUCAAUAAAUUUUGUCUUGAACAAAACUGGUCAGGAGCAACUCUUCUACGUUGGUCAUUCUCAAGGCACCACCAUAGGUUUCAUAGCAUUUUCAAUUUUUCCAGAGUUGGCAAAAAAGAUAAAAAUAUUUUUCGGAUUGGCGCCUGCUAUGACUGGUCACUUUUCAUCCGGUGGUUUGGCCAAACUUGGAGAGCUUCCUGAUUUUCUACUUAAAAAAAUAUUUGGAACCAAGCAGUUUUUACCCCAGAAUGCGCUUAUAAAAUGGCUUGCUACCCACGUGUGCGACCGUGCUUUACUUGAUGAUCUUUGUGGCAACUUUUUCUUUCUCCUGUGUGGAUUUAAUGAGAAAAACCUAAACAUGGUAAGACCAAUAGAAGUAUAUUCAACACACUGCCCAGCUGGAACAUCUGCCCAGAAUAUGCUUCAUUGGAGUCAGGUUAAAAAGUCUGGGGAAGUCAGAGCAUAUGACUGGGGAAGCAAAAAGGAAAAUAUGGCUCAUUAUAAACAGCCAACACCACCUCGCUACAAAAUGAAAGAAAUGCUUGUUCCAACAGCUAUAUGGACGGGUGGCCAUGACUGGCUGUCAGACCCAAAGGACGUUGCCAUCUUAAUGACUAUGAUCCCAAAUUUGAUAUACCACAAGGAGAUCCCAGACUGGGAACAUCUGGAUUUUAUCUGGGGCCUUGAUGCCCCACAGCGCAUGUUCAGAGAUAUGAUUCAGAUGAUGCGGAAAGUUCAAUAUACCCAUUAAUUGCUUGAAGUUGUAAUCCCAAAACACUGAUGCAGUUGUGAAAAGAAAGUCUUGCUUUUUUACCUACGUAUAGUAGUAUUCCAACACAAGCCUUCUUGCAAUACCUUAAGAAAUGGAAACUUUGCACUUGUCAUAUAGGUAUUUUUUAAUUCAUGCAGUUUUAAUGGAAAGGUAGAAAAUAGGUAAUGAAUGAAACCAAACCCCUGGCACUGCUGUUGCUCUUGCACUAUUCAGAUAAUUUUUGAAAUGAGGAGAAGGAGGGAAUGACAAUUUAUUGAACCUUUGUAAUAUCGAUACUGAGGUUGUGAAAGCUAUUUAAUAAUGAGUGUCCGUGUGUGAUUUUAUUUUGCUUAUUUUGUUGGAACAAAUUCCUUUCAAAGUGUCGGGCUCCGAACGCAACAAUAUUAACCUUGGAGCCCGCCAGCAUUGCUGACAACGAGAUCCGAUCUUCCGUGCUGUGCUGCGCCAUGACAUCAGCUGAGAGGCGGCAAACACAUAGGGAAUCCCCAAGAGGAGAUGACAUUGACAUUGUAACAACAGGGAUUCCCUGUUCAGCGAUCGGCAGCACCAGGCACUUUGGGGUUGAUUCGGCUCGUGAAAGAGAGCAUUCCUCUCACACAAACAAGGGGUGGAGAGCUGGGGAUUAGAGAGGGGUCAGAGCUAGAAAGGAUUAGAGCUGAGUAGGAAGGAUAGGGAUAGGCUCAUAUAUAAUAGUAGACAAGGGGGCUAAUUAAGGUAAUUAGAAUGGGGCAGAAUGCAGGAAGUAGCCUCGAUUAGGUUGGUGUGGUUGCACAAUAAACAGCGCUGGAAGGCAGACGUUCCCA
ensembl:lncRNA